rnacentral:ncRNA from 1 species
CUGCCGGGACGACCCGGCCAUGAAAGGGCAAUUGUCAGGACGACCUGC